rnacentral:rRNA from 1 species
CGCGUAGGCGGAUGAUUAAGUCAAAUGUGAAAGCCCAGGGCUUAACCUUGGAACUGCAUUUGAUACUGGUCAUCUAGAGUACAGUAGAGGGGGGUGGAAUUCCAGGUGUAGCGGUGAAAUGCGUAGAGAUCUGGAGGAACAUCAGUGGCGAAGGCGACCCCCUGGACUGAUACUGACGCUGAGGUGCGAAAGCGUGGGUAGCGAACA